rnacentral:rRNA from 1 species
AUUGAACGCUGGAGGCAGGCCUAACACAUGCAAGUCGAGCGAGCGGCGGACGGGUGAGUAAUGUAUGGGGACUGCCCGAUAGAGGGGGAUAACUACUGGAAACGGUGGCUAAUACCGCAUACUAUCGGAUAACCCAUAUGGGAUUGGCUAGUAGGUGGGGUAAAGGCUCACCUAGGCGACGAUCUCUAGCUGGUCUGAGAGGAUGAUCAGCAACAGUGGGCCGGAGACACGGCCCAGACUCCGACGGAGGCAGCAGUGGGGAAUAUUGCAAAAGGGGCGCAAGCCUGAUGCAGCCAUGCCGCGUGUAGGAAGAAGGCAUGAGGGUUGGAAAGUACUUUCAGCGGGGAGGCGUUACCCGCAGAAGAAGCACUGCCUAACUCCGUGCCAGCAGCCGCGGUAAUUC